GAUGAACGCUGGCGGCGUGCCUCAAACAUGCAAGUCGAGCGGGGCUAUGUAAUAUCGCAAGGUAGAACAUAGCCUAGCGGCGAACGGGUGCGUAACACGUGGGUAACCUGCCUGGAAGACAGGGAUAACGAUUCGAAAGGGCCGCUAAUACCUGAUAAUAUCCUUUCAUCGCAUGGUGAUAGGAAGAAAGGGGAAACCCGCUUUCAGAUGGGCCCGCGUCCCAUCAGCUAGUUGGUAAGGUAAAGGCUUACCAAGGCGACGACGGGUAGCCGGUCUGAGAGGAUGUACGGCCACACUGGGACUGAGAUACGGCCCAGACUCCUACGGGAGGCAGCAGUUGGGAAUCUUAGGCAAUGGAACGAAAGUCUGACCUAGCGACGCCGCGUGAGGGAAGAAGGCCUUCGGGUUGUAACCUCUGUCGAGUGGGGAAGAAGUAGUGACGGUACCCAAGAGAACGCCCUGACUAACUACGUGCCAGCCCCCCGGCCGGUAAUACCACAUAGUAGU
rnacentral:rRNA from 1 species